rnacentral:rRNA from 1 species
GCCUCAUCAGUACGUCGCGAGAUAGACAUUACCGAGUUGAUUCGGGCUCCGGCCCGAUCCUCCCACCCUUUGUGUACCUACCUCUGUUGCUUUGGCGGGCCGCGGUCCUCCGCGGCCGCCCCCCUCCCCGGGGGGGUGGCCAGCGCCCGCCAGAGGACCAUCAAACUCCAGUCAGUAAACGAUGCAGUCUGAAAAACAUUUAAUAAACUAAAACUUUCAACAACGGAUCUCUUGGUUCUGGCAUCGAUGAAGAACGCAGCGAAAUGCGAUAAGUAAUGUGAAUUGCAGAAUUCAGUGAAUCAUCGAAUCUUUGAACGCACAUUGCGCCCUUUGGUAUUCCGAAGGGCAUGCCUGUUCGAGCGUCAUUACAACCCUCAAGCUCUGCUUGGUAUUGGGCACCGUCCUUUGCGGGCGCGCCUCAAAGACCUCGGCGGUGGCGUCUUGCCUCAAGCGUAGUAGAACAUACAUCUCGCUUCGGAGCGCAGGGCGUCGCCCGCCGGACGAACCUUCUGAACUUUUCUCAAGGUUGACCUCGGAUCAGGUAGGGAUACCCGCUGAACUUAAGCAUAUCAAUAAGACAGAGGAA